CGUUGAAUACGUUCUCGGGUCCUGUACUCACCGCCCGUCACACCACGGAAGUUGACAAUGCCCAAAGCUCCCUUACGGGGGUUAAGGCAGGGCCAAUGACUAGGGUG
rnacentral:rRNA from 1 species